CACGUAGGGUGCGAGCGUUGUCCGGAAUUAUUGGGCGUAAAGAGCUCGUAGGCGGUCUGUCGCGUCGGCUGUGAAAACCCGAGGCUCAACCUCGGGCCUGCAGUCGAUACGGGCAAACUGGAGUGUUGCAGGGGAGACUGGAAUUCCUGGUGUAGCGGUGAAAUGCGCAGAUAUCAGGAGGAACACCGACGGCGAAGGCAGCACUCUGGGCCGGUACUGACGCUGAGGAGCGAAAGCAUGGGGAGCGAACAGG
rnacentral:rRNA from 1 species